rnacentral:rRNA from 1 species
UACAGAGGGUGCGAGCGUUAAUCGGAAUUACUGGGCGUAAAGCGCGCGUAGGCGGCUUUGCAAGUCGAGUGUGAAAUCCCCAGGCUUAACCUGGGAACUGCAUUCGAGACUGCAUGGCUAGAGUAUGGGAGAGGGAAGUGGAAUUUCAGGUGUAGCGGUGAAAUGCGUAGAUAUCUGAAGGAACAUCAGCGGCGAAAGCGACUUCCUGGACCAAUACUGACGCUCAUGUGCGAAAGCGUGGGGAGCAAACAGG